rnacentral:rRNA from 1 species
CGGGUGAGUAAUGUAUGGGGAUCUGCCUGAUGGCGGGGGGUAACUACUGGAAACGGUAGCUAAUACCGCAUAAUGUCUACGGACCAAAGCGGGGGACCUCCGGGCCUCGCGCCAUCAGAUGAACCCAUAUGGGAUUAGCUAGUAGGUAAGGUAACGGCUUACCUAGGCGACGAUCCCUAGCUGGUCUGAGAGGAUGAUCAGCCACACUGGGACUGAGACACGGCCCAG